rnacentral:misc_RNA from 1 species
UUGUAGCUCAGUUGGUUAGAGCGCGCGCUUGAUAAGCGUGAGGUCGGAGGUUCAAGUCCUCCCAGGCCCACCAAUUUACCUAUCCAUUUGCUUUUAUCCGUUUAUUUGCCGAUUUAUCGGUCCAUUGAAUUUAAGUGUUGGUAGCGGUUUUUAUAAUGAUGAGAAAUCAUGCUUAUAAAAGAACUCCUUAUAAAAGGCUUGUUUUUAAAAUGUGACGCUUAUCCAUUUCGCUUAGGCAAGAGAAACUUCAAGCGGUUCAAAUGCAAAAGGCUUUAAAUUUUGCAAAACACUUUGAAU